GUUCCCUCACCAUCUGCAGGUCAUCAUCCUUAAGGGCUCCACCAUCUGCAGUGUCUACAGUGGACUAUUUGCAUCUUCAGUGCAAAUACCUGAUUGUAUAUGGAUGGAUUGUAGGGUCUAACCACCUUGAUUUGAUUCGGGCUGGAGCAGCAGCAGCAGGUCCUUCCUUCCAUGGAGGGCAUCCACAACAUGACCCGCACAAGGAGCUCCAAGCAGACAAAGCACAGGUUUCUUUGUUUGUAAAUUAAGCAGUCUGGUAGAUUUGGAAAGGAGGAACAGGGUACUGAACUUUUAUAUAUCUGCACAAGGAAUACUAUGUUAUGUAAGAACAUGGCGGUGCAGUCACCCGAGGUGAAGAAGCUCUGUCACCUACCUCUACAUCCUCCACUAGGCUG